rnacentral:rRNA from 1 species
UAAUCGCGCAUCAGCCAUGGCGCGGUGAAUACGUUCCCGGGUCUUGUACACACCGCCCGUCACACCAUGGGAGUCGGAAAUGCCCGAAGUCUGUGACCCAACCUUAGGAAGGGAGCAGCCGAAGGCAGGUCGGAUGACUGGGGUGAAGUCGUAACAAGGUAUC